GCCAGCGUAGUCCAACUUGGUAGGAGACGCAUCAUUCAGGGUGAUGACAGUGCUGGUUCGAGUCCGGCCGCUGGCA
rnacentral:tRNA from 1 species